AGAUACCUUUCUGUGUCUCACAGCAUGUUUGAUGUUCAUUGAGGUCAUGUGUAGCUGCAUGUCCCUCUCCAGGAGCAGAAAGGAGGAGACUAUUGGAUUUUAUUCCUUCGCUAACACUGUCUACCUUUAGAAAGGACAAGCCAUUGCAUUAUGGCCUCAUAUGAAGUCACUAACUUUUGCAUGUCAAGAAUAAAAGAGAAAUUUAUAAACAAAAUGGGAAGCAUGGUUGGGCCAAAUGCAUCUUUGUUAUUAUGACUGAGCUUGCAGGGAAGUUGUGGAGAGAUUCUUUGUUCUGAUUUCUGGUGGAGUAUUCUGGCCCUGGUGUUAUUCCCCCCGCCUGCCCACCAUCUUCCUGAGACCUGGGAGGGAGAGGGAGGUUUUCACAGCCUGAAAUGUUGAUUCUGAAGUGUGAAGGAAACAGAACCACGCUGGAUGAUGUGACUCAUCUUGGAGAAAUCAAACAUUCCCUGAAGUGUGGUAGAAGGCAGGAAGAAUGACACUUGCUAAUUUGAAUUUCAGAAAGCACCUAAACCUCAUUCUGAUCUCCAGAGAUUGUGGAAAACAAUUCAUUAUCUGCUGUCACGAAGAAUCCUGAAAAUUUGAGAACUGUUAUCAAAUCUUCUCCUAGUCUUCCCCCUCCUGGAUUAAGCAAGCUCAGUUCUUGCAAAGUCUUAUGCAGGAUAACUUUUUUUUUCCCCUUGAGUUCACUCUUAUUUCUGUUUUUGGGACUUUCUCCAGCUGGUCGAUGUAUUGUAUCAUACUGACAUGUGAUAACCUGCAGUGAUCACAGGGAUCCAGGUAAAGAAUUACCAGCUCUGAGUAGAAUGGAAGGAAUAUUUUGUGUGCUUAACAUAAAAUGUACUAAUUUCCUCUAAGCCAGCAUGAUUGCUUCUUACGCAACUGUAUGAUUUUAUUGCUUGUUUGUGAUCUAUUCUAAUUGUCAGAUUCUUUUCUACACUGUUUGUGUGGUUAGUCAUUCUCCAUUUUAUAUUUGUUCAGGUAAUUUCACUUGUACAUGUAUCUGUGAAUUAAUUUAAUUGCUUAGCUGGAUUCAGAUUUCUGCUGUUCACCAAGAUAACUUAAAGUGUACAUUCUGUACUCCAAAAGAUUUGAAGUCUUUUUAGCUUAGUGUAUUUUAAAAUGCAAAGAGCAUCUUAAUCAUCUACCAGUUCAUUAAUGAAUAUGUCAUACAGCUUCCUGCAGAACCUGACCUGAUGUGUCUUGCUCAUUUGAAAAUGAAUCAUUGAUAACUAUUGAUGACUAAUUCUGUGAAUGGGAUUUCCCAAAUAACUAUCUUAAAUCUACUUGUCUAUGUGAAUGUCCUGUGAGAUGUCAAAAGCCAGAACAUGCAUGACAGUAUUUAUUCUCCUCUGUCCUUAAAGCAUCUUAUCUACUGUAGAGAGAAAUAAAUUUGCUCUGACAUGAUUUAUUUAUUAAAAUUCAUCUUGUCUCUUACAUACUGGUUAUAUUCAAGAUUCUUAAAAAUAGACCUUUUCAUUAUUUGCUCUGAUAUUUUUCUGGUAAUUGAAGUGAGACUCUCUUCUUUUUGACAUUUUAAAAGUAAGUAAAUAUUUGCUCUUUCUAGUCUUCUGGAAUCUGUACUCCCAAAGUUGCUAAAGAUAAUUGCUAGUGGCUAUAUAUUGUUUUCUGUUUUCUCAGCACUGAAUUACACUUAACCUAGCCAACUUGAAAAUUACAAUAUUAUCUAUGUGAAUUCUACAUAAUUCUUUCACUUUUUUAUCCUGAUUUUCACUCUUCUAUUUGUGAUUUUAAUGAGAUUGACUAUGACAUUAAAACUGAUCUGUAAGCAAAGGCUAAAGCAAAAAGAUCACGGAACACUUUCCAGAUAUAGUGAUAAUGCUGUAACUGUGAUAGCUUAAGAGUAUAAGCAAGCAAAUGCUGUGGGAAAAAGACACUCUCUUUUAUUAAUCCAAUUGAUAUAGCUGGAAAAUAGGCAAACAUCUGUCUCUGGAGCAGGGUUUGUGUUCCUGAAGACUUUUUUUUUUUUUUACUACUUAAUUAGUCUAAUAAUAGAUAUAAGUUCACUUCCCAAAUCCUGUCUUAGAAUCAAUGCU